UUAACUCAAAUUUGUAAGGAGUUGGAACUUUGCCUACAUUUGCCGCUAGGGGCGCUGUUCCAACUGCAUAGAUACUUCACUUA
rnacentral:pre_miRNA from 1 species